rnacentral:rRNA from 1 species
AGCAUCGCGAUAGCUUGCUAUAGCGGAUGGCGACCGGCGGACGGGUGAGUAACGCGUGAGCAACCUGCCCAUCACUUGGGGAUAACCUUGCGAAAGUAAGACUAAUACCCCAUGGUCUCCACGGAUGGCAUCUGAAAUGGAGUAAAGGUUUCGGCCGGUUGCGGAUGGGGAUGCGUCCGAUUAGCUUGACGGCGGGGUAACGGCCCACCGUGGCAUCGAUCGGUAGGGGUUCUGAGAGGAAGGUCCCCACAUUGGAACUGAGACACGGUCCAAACUCC